rnacentral:rRNA from 1 species
UGGGGAAUAUUGCACAAUGGGCGCAAGCCUGAUGCAGCAACGCCGCGUGAGGGACGACGGCCUUCGGGUUGUAAACCUCUUCUAGUAGGGAAGAAGCGAAAGUGACGGUACCUGCAGAAAAAGCACCGGCUAACUACGUGCCAGCAGCCGCGGUAAUACGUAGGGUGCAAGCGUUGUCCGGAAUUAUUGGGCGUAAAGAGCUCGUAGGCGGUUUGUCGCGUCUGCUGUGAAAACCCGAGGCUCAACCUCGGGCCUGCAGUGGGUACGGGCAGACUAGAGUGCGGUAGGGGAGAAUGGAAUUCCUGGUGUAGCGGUGGAAUGCGCAGAUAUCAGGAGGAACACCGAUGGCGAAGGCAGUUCUCUGGGCCGUAACUGACGCUGAGGAGCGAAAGCGUGGGGAGCGAACAGGAUUAGAUACCCUGGUAGUCCACGCCGUAAACGUUGGGCGCUAGAUGUGGGGCACCAUUCCACGGUUUCCGUGUCGCAGCUAACGCAUUAAGCGCCCCGCCUGGGGAGUACGGCCGCAAGGCU